CCCAGCACACCAGGAAAAUGCACAGAGCUCACAAAGAGGCUUUGUAGCACCUCAGAGCAGUGUGGUCAUACCAUGGACCAGGCAGGCUGCACCUCAGAAUCCCUGGGCAGCAAAGGUAUCACAGCAGCGGGGUGGUCCCCAAAACUCUACCGUCCUCACACUCAAAGGAGGAAAGGAGACCUCGGGCUUAAGAAACAGACUCCACGAGGUGACUUAGCACCCUUGGGUCUGACCGAAGGGUCCUGUACCACAGCAGCUCCUGAGGGAAAGCAGUACUGCCUGGGCAGGGUCUGGAGAUGCAGGAGGAUGCUAAGCUUGAGAAAGGGUCAGCCUGCACAGUCUGGCCUAGGGAGACCCUAGACACCACCCUCGUCCCUCAUGUUUCUCCAGAAAAGAGCCACCCUCCCCCUUGGUGAUUAGAUAUGCUACCUGGUUCAGCCAACACCAGUAGGCAGGACUCGGUGAUAAGGUCAAUGACCUUUAAGGAACUGCCCUGUGAGUACUUUGGCAUGGCAUUGGGCAGCUGAAGGAACUCAGCCAUCCAUUGUGGCUUUCUAAGCUGCUCAUAGCCCAGCGCUUGCUGCCUAGCCCAGUUUCCUGUCUGUCACCUCCAUCCAUUCAACAUUCCCACACCACAUGCUAUGGGUGGCCCCACCUCAGGCAGGGCAGUGCUCUGGUGUGGGGUAGAGAGCACAGUAGAGAGCCAAACCACACAAGCUGCAUCUAACCAGAAACUCAAUAUCCCUUUCCCUGUUCCCUCUCCUUCCCUGCCCCCUUCUGCUUUGUGUGUAUGUGUGUAUGUGUGUAUGAGAGAAAGAAUGCAUUCCCAAUUAGUGAAAGCUUCAUCCUUCACUCUCUUCCUUCACCAUUGCUCCUCCCAGGGGACUUGGGCUGGUGGCAGCAAGCUUGAUACUCCAGGAAUGCCAGGUGACUCCAUAUCCUGCCGAGAUGACAACCGAAAUCAGCCCUCACAGGACUCAACAUCAUUAGUCACUAGGGAAAUGCGAGUCAAAGCUACAGUGAAAUACUACUGUACGUCAUGGGCUGGAGAUUGGCGUUAAUGCUUUGACUCUGCAUGUCCAGAUGCAUGGUUUUUGAUCUGUCAAUAAAGAUGUCAGCAGCCAGUGGCA